UAAAAAUUUUUUAUAGUUUAAUUAAUUUAUUAAAAGUUUAUUUUACAUAUAAAUUUUAGUGUAUAUUUUUGUUUAUUUUAAAAAUAAAUUUUUUAUUAGCAUAGUAAUUAAUAUUAAACAAUUUAAGAAAUUAUGAUUUAGUAAUAUUUGAAUUAAUAACAAAUUUUGUGCCAGCAGUUGCGGUUAAACAAAAGUUAAAUUAAAUUUUAUUAGUUAAUUAAUAAAUAAAAAUCGAUUAAUAAAUAAUUUAAAAUUUAAAUUAUUAAGUGAAAUUUUAAUUUAAUUAAUUUUUAUAUUUAUAUUAUGAUUUAAUAAAUUUUUGUAAUAAACUAGGAUUAGAUACCCUAUUAUUAAAUUUUAAAAUUUUAUACUAAAAUAGUAAAUAAUUAUUUAUUGAAACUUAAAUAAUUUGGCGGUAUUUUAGUUCAUUUAGAGGAAUCUGUUUAAUAAUUGAUAAUCCACGAAUAAAUUUACUUAAUUUAUAAUUUUAUAUAUCGUUGUUAAAAAAAUAUUUUUUUAUAAUUAAAUAAUAUUUAAAUUUUUUUAAUUUAAAAUUAAAUCAGAUCAAGAUAUAGAUUAUAAUUAAGAAUAUAAUGGAUUACAAUAAAUUUAUUUAGAUGAAUAUUAUUUUGUAAUAAAUAAUUGAAGGUGGAUUUAAAUGUAAUUUUAUUUAAUUUAAUAAAAUGAUUUUUAAUUAAAAUAUGUACAUAUUGCCCGUCGCUUUCAUAUAUUCAUAUAUAUAUAUAAAUAUUAUAUAGAAAAGUUGAAAUAAGUCGUAACAAAGUAGGGGUACUGGAAAGUGUUUCUAGAAAGAA
rnacentral:ncRNA from 1 species